rnacentral:rRNA from 4 species
GAUGAACGCUAGCGAUAGGCCUAACACAUGCAAGUCGAGGGGCAGCACAUGAAGUAGCAAUACGGAUGGUGGCGACCGGCGCACGGGUGAGUAACGCGUAUGCAACCUACCUACAACAGGGGGAUAACCCGUUGAAAGACGGACUAAUACCCCAUAAUACAGGGGUCCCGCAUGGGGAUAUUUGUUAAAGAUUAAUCGGUUGUAGAUGGGCAUGCGUUCCAUUAGCUGGUUGGUGAGGUAACGGCUCACCAAGGCAACGAUGGAUAGGGGAACUGAGAGGUUUAUCCCCCACACUGGUACUGAGACACGGACCAGACUCCUACGGGAGGCAGCAGUGAGGAAUAUUGGUCAAUGGACGCAAGUCUGAACCAGCCACGUCGCGUGAAGGAAGACGGCCCUACGGGUUGUAAACUUCUUUUGUAAGGGAAUAAAGUGAGUCACGUGUGACUUUUUGCAUGUACCUUACGAAUAAGGAUCGGCUAACUCCGUGCCAGCAGCCGCGGUAAUACGGAGGAUCCGAGCGUUAUCCGGAUUUAUUGGGUUUAAAGGGUGCGCAGGCGGGAGAUUAAGUCGGCGGUGAAAUUUUGCAGCUCAACUGUAAAAGUGCCAUCGAUACUGGUUUUCUUGAGUGUGGAUGAAGUAGGCGGAAUUUGUGGUGUAGCGGUGAAAUGCAUAGAUAUCACAAGGAACACCGAUUGCGCAGGCAGCUUACUAAACCAUAACUGACGCUCAGGCACGAAGGCGUGGGGAGCAAACA